AUUGAACGCUGUCGGCAGGCCUAACACAUGCAAGUCGAACGGUAACAUGAAACAGCUUGCUGUUUCGCUGACGAGUGGCGGACGGGUGAGUAUUGUCUGGGAAACUGCCUGAUGGAGGGGGAUAACUACUGGAAACGGUAUCUAAUACCGCAUAACGUCGCAAGCCCAAAGAGGGUGACCUUCGGGCCUCUUGCCAUCGGAUGUGCCCAGAUGGGAUUAGCUAGUAGGUGGGGUAACGGCUCACCUAGGCGACGAUCCCUAGCUGGUCUGUGAGGAUGACCAGGCACACUGGAACUGAGACACGGUCCAGACUCCUACGGGAGGCAGCAGUGGGGAAUAUUGCACAAUGGGCGCAAGCCUGAUGCAGCCAUGACGCGUGUAUGAAGAAGGCCUUCGGGUUGUAAAGUACUUUCAGCGGGGAGGAAGGGAGUAAAGUUAAUACCUUUACUCAUUGACGUUACCCGCAGAAGAAGCACCGGCUAACUCCGUG
rnacentral:rRNA from 1 species